GCGCAAUGGGCGAAAGCCUGACGCAGCAACACCGCGUGUGGGAUGAAGCUUUUCGGAGUGUAAACCACUGUCAGAGGGGACGAAAUCUGACGGUACCCUCAGAGGAAGCAUCGGCUAACUACGUGCCAGCAGCCGCGGUAAGACGUAGGAUGCAAGCGUUGUCCGGAAUCAUUGGGCGUAAAGCGUUCGUAGGCGGCCUGUCAAGUCUGAUGUUAAAGCCCAGGACUCAAUCCUGGUCCAGCAUUGGAUACUGACAAGCUAGAGUACAGGAGAGGCAAGGGGAAUUCCUAGUGUAGCGGUGAAAUGCGUAGAUAUCAGGAGGAACACCGGUGGCGAAAGCGCCUUGCUGGACUGAGACUGACGCUGAGGGACGAAAGCCAGGGGAGCAAAUGGGAUUAGAUACCCCAGUAGUCCUGGCUGUAAACGAUGGAUACUAGGUGUUGCGGGUAUCGACCCCUGCAGUGCCGCAGCUAACGCGAUAAGUAUCCCGCCUGGGGAGUACGCACGCAAGUGUGAAACUCAAAGGAAUUGACGGGGACCCGCACAAGCGGUGGAACAUGUGGUUUAAUUCGAAGCAACGCGAAGAACCUUACCAGGACUUGACAUCUGGCGAAUCCUGCAGAAAUGCGGGAGUGCCUUCGGGAGCGCCAAGACAGGUGGUGCACGGUUGUCGUCAGCUCGUGUCGUGAGAUGUUGGGUUAAGUCCCGCAACGAGCGCAACCCUCGUUGUUAGUUGCCAAUAACGGCAUGCUGUUAUUGUGCUCUCUAGCGAGACUGCCGGUGAUAAACCGGAGGAAGGUGGGGAUGACGUCAAAUCAUCAUGCCCCUUAUGUCC
rnacentral:rRNA from 1 species